AGUUACUAGGCAGUGUAGUUAGCUGAUUGCCAAAAGUAGCAAUCACUAGCGACACAGCCAGGUAAAA
rfam:Nipponia nippon contig16425, whole genome shotgun sequence.